rnacentral:rRNA from 1 species
GGGGGAAAAUUAAUAAAUUAUAAAUAAUAAAAAAAUUUUUAAUAUUGGGGGAUAUUGAAGUAUUUUUUUAAAAAAAAAUAAUUUAAUUUAUAAUGAAUUAGUAUUGAGAAAGAAAUUUGAAAUAAUUGAAAAUAAAUUGAUAAUAAAGUAAUUUUUAUUUAAUGUAUCUUGUGUAUCAGAGUUUAUUAAAAAAUAUUUUUUUUAAAGAAAAAUCUCGAAUUUAAAAGAGUUAAUUAAUUAUAAAAGUUAAUGUAGAAAAAUUAUUUUUAAUAAUUAAUUUGAAAUGAAAUGUUAAUCGUUUUUAAAUAUAUCUAGUUAUUUUAGAAAAAAAUUUAAUUUAAAAUUUAAAAAAUUUUAUUUUUAAUUAUAAUUAAAAAUAAAAUUUUAAAAUUAAAUAUAUUAAGGGAUAAGCUUUAAUAUAAAAAUUUAUAAUAAAUUAAUUUAGAAAUAAAAAUUUUAAAAUUUAUAUUGUUUAAAAAUUUUAAUUUAUUAUAAAAAAUUUUAUUUUUAAUAAAAUUUAAUAAAAAAAAUUUAAAUUUAUAUAAAAUAAUAAUAAAAAUAAAAAAAAAAUUAGUAAUAAUGAUAAAAUUAGUAUAUUAUUAUAAAAUGUAAUUUAAUUAAUUAAAAAUAAAUUAAAGGAAUUCGGCAAAAUUUUAUAUUCACUUGUUUAUCAAAAACAUGUCUUUUAGAUAAUAAUUUAAAGUCUAAUCUGCCCACUGAUAAAUAUAUUAAAGGGCUGCAGUAUAUUGACUGUACAAAGGUAGCAUAAUCAUUAGUCUUUUAAUUGAAGACUUGUAUGAAAGAUUUGAUGAAAUAUAAACUGUCUCUAAUAUAAUUAUAAAAUUUAAUUUUUUAGUUAAAAAGCUAAAAUAAAUUUAAAAGACGAGAAGACCCUAUAGAGUUUUAUAUUAAAAUUAUUUAAGAUUAUAUAUAUAAAUAAAUAUUAAAAGUAAAAUUAAUAUUUUAUUGGGGUGAUAAAAAAAUUAAUAUAACUUUUUUUUAAAAAAAACAUAAAUAAGUGAUUAAUUGAUCCAUUUAUUAUGAUUAAAAGAAAAAAUUACCUUAGGGAUAACAGCGUAAUAUUUUUUUUUAGUACAAAUAAAAAAAAAAGUUUGCGACCUCGAUGUUGGAUUAAGAUAAAAUUUAAAUGCAAAAGUUUAAAAUUUUGAUCUGUUCGAUCAUUAAAAUCUUACAUGAUCUGAGUUCAAACCGGUGUGAGCCAGGUUGGUUUCUAUCUUUAAUAAAAAAAAAUAUUUUAGUACGAAAGGAUCAAGUAUUUUUAAUAAUUAAAAUUUGAUGAAUAUUAAUAAUUAAUGAUU